rnacentral:lncRNA from 1 species
UCCUCACUCCACUUAACACUUGAAGGAUCUUGAUUGAAGGGAAAAUGUCAGCCAAAUUAAAUCCACCUGCCAAUUCCAUCACUUCCUUCACCAUUUGAAUGAAUUUCUCUUGGUCUUUCAACAAUUCCCCAAAUGCUGCUUUACAUGUGAUUGAGCUCUGGUACCAUAAAAUCCGUUCCGUAACAUUUAUUGGCUCGCCACAUGUCGAUGACUGGAUGAAUUGCACGAGGCCUGAAGCCUCGUCCUUCCUGAUGGAACUAAAGGAUCGUACGUUCUUGGCGGUGAGGAGUUCCAUGACACAUACUUUACGCAUUUGUCUCCAGUAUUCACCAUAAGGAGUAAAUGCGAUGUCCGUGCUCUUGUAACAUAUUGUGUCGACGGAUGCUAAUUUAGGCCUCGAUGCAAAAGCAAGGUCAUGAGUUUUCAGUACCUCCCGGGCCAUAUCCGUAGAUGAAACUAUGACCGUAGAAAUUUCCCCUAGUUGUAGGUGCAUGAGAGGCCCAUAUUUUUUGCUCAAGUUUGUGAGUGCAUGAUGAGGAAGUCCACCUUCUAGUACCAAGUGAUGGAUACUUCCUAAGAAAGGCAAUUUCCAUGGUCCUGGAGGAAGUUUUUUGUUCAAGUUUCUUGAUUUUUUCCUUUGCACAAGUAGUAGAUAGAGGAAUGAUAGGAAAAGAAAUAAGAAAAUGAAAUUGAAUGGAAAUUGGAACUCCAUUAGAUAGCUAAAGCUAAGAGAGGAGUGUCUCUCAAGUUGUAUAUGGCUAUAUUUUGGCCUAUCCUAAUGCCAGAGGGAUAUGAUCCAAGUGUUAGGCUAUCUUUUGGCCUAUCCUUGAAGAUAUUUUCCUUAAAAAUAAGUAGUUUUCUUAUAUAGUUUUUUUUUUUAAUAUUUGAAAAGCAGAAAAAAUGUAAAAUCUAAACAAACACUAUGAAAUAAGAUUGGGGCUGGCGGUGGGCAGGAUUAAAAUGUCGAAACUUGUUUUUUAUGCUUUUAUUAGAAAAACUUUUUUUUCAAUUUUAGAGCGAUAGGAUUUUAAUUACUUAAUACUUAGCUUCUAAUAAGAUUCUGACAUAUAUUACACAGUUCAGGGGCGGAUUUACAUUGAACGAAGGGGUUCAUCCGAACCCCCUUCGUCGAAAAAUUACUAGGAUUAAAUUUUGAAUAUAUGUGUAUAUAUACUAUUGAACCCCCUGAACAUACACCAAAGGCGUAGCUCAGUGGCGUUGGGGGUUCAGGAGUUUUGCUCUACUGCACGCGAGGUCGCGUGUUCGAAUCCGGACAGAGGCAUUUUGUUUUAUCAACUUAUUUCAGACGUUUUAUUUUUUUAAAAUAAAUAAUAAUGCAAUCAGAAAACGAUGUUUAGUUCCAAAAAAUUAAAACGCUGAUUGAGAAUUUAGGAUUUAUUAGUUUAAUCCCUAAUCAUAAAGUCAAAUAUUAAAAAAAUCGUUUCUUCUUGAUUCGACCGUUUAAUCCGACCCGUUUAUAUCCGAUUCGACCCGUUUAUUUAUGGAUAUUAUUUACGUGAUUAAUUUUUUUGAACCCCCUUGAUGAAAAUCCUCCCUCCGCCACUGUUACACACAUAUCAUAUUUUCCAGCCACACGUAGAGCCUCCAAGACGAUCCGUAUUGAUUAAUAGAUCUUCGCGUCCUGCCACAUAUUGCAUGACAAAAUAUCUUUGGUUUUAUUUUGAACAAACUACGAGCUAUACAUUACUCAUGUUAUUUCGUCAGCAGCAUCGUAAGUUUGUGUACUGACCUCAGUAAUAUAAUUCUAAUAACAUUUUAUUACACUUUUUAUGAUAUGUGAUUCAUAUUUGAAGGUGCUACUAUUUUUACGAUAAAAUGUUGAUUUUCAAGCAAUUUUUUUCGUCUUUUAUCAGUAAAACAAAAACAACAUGCAAAUAUUGCAACCGUAUUUCCUUUGUUCUUUAGAUAAACAAUAUGUCCAGCUUUACAUAUUAAUUACCCAUUUCCAAAUUAAAAUUAUAUAUCAAUUAAUAUGAAUAUUAUGAUAAAAUACUCUUAUUAAUUACUCUAUUAAUUUAAAAUGCAUACAAAAUUUAAAGACGACAAAUAAAAUGAGUACAAAUAUAAAUGACGGAAGAAAAUAUCUUUGAUUUCAUUUAGAAUUUACUAAGAAAACAUAAUUAGUUUUAUUUAAAAUCUGUUAAAAUAUUAUCUAUUAACAAUAUAUAAGUGAAAACAAGUUAGCUAUUAAUAUAUAUAUUAAUAUAUAAGUAAGAACAAGCCAACAACUAAUGAUCAAACAGACAUAUUGUCCAUCAACGGUGUGUUUAUCCAUACUUAUAUAUUAGUAGUGGAAGUGGAUAGUGGAUAUUUGACUUUUAAUGCAUCAAUAAUGCCAUCUUUUCUGAGAAAAUGAUAUAAAUAAUCUCUUAACUAUAUGAGUAGGUCUAAAAUGGUCCUUUAACUAUAUACUUAACGGAUUUAGUCCUUUAAUUAUAUCGGUUUUAGUUCCUUAACUAUAAACUUAUCGAUUUUAGUCCUUUAAAUAUUUAAAAACUUAUCAGGUUUGGUCUUUGUCCAUUUUUAAAAUACAAAUAGCUUAGGUUUAUAUUAACGGAAAUCUUCGUGAAAUUGUAUCUUUAACCCAUUUUUAAAGUUGUUUCUCUAUCCCCACCAUUUUUCUUCAAACUACUCUUAUGAAAAGAACAAUAACGUCAACGAUUCAAAAUAAAAUUAAUGAGGAAAGAAGAUAUAAGUCCUUAUUUUAUUCAAUGGAGGAUAAAAUUAAACAUAUAAUUGUUGUUAAUGACUUGAAUCCACACUUGAAUAUGCUAAUCAAUGCGGAUUUUAUUUAAUUUCAUCAAAAUAAAAUUAAUGAGGAAAGAAGAUAUAAGUCCUUAUUUUAUUCAAUGGAGGAUAAAAUUAAACAUAUAAUUGUUGUUAAUGACUUGAAUCCACACUUGAAUAUGCUAAUCAAUGCGGAUUUUAUUUAAUUUCACAAAUUUAUUUACGUAAAAUAAAAUGAAUAGAAUAAUAAAAUUGAUCUAUUUAAAAAAAUUGCAAAUCUACCAUGCAUUUUAUAAAUUUCAAUUUCUGAAAAAUUAAACAAAUUUCGUUCAAUAAAAUCGUUGGAGUACAAACUUUGAAUUUUAUGAUUAAUAUUUUUUUUCUUUUUAUAAUAAAGUUAAGCAUAUUCAAGUCAUUAGUAGCAAUAAUAUGCUUCAUUUUAUCCUCUGUUGAAUAAAAUUAUGACUUAUAUUUUCUUUCCUCGUGAAUUUUAUUUUAAAUCAUUGAGGUUAAGGUUCUUCGCAUAAGGUUAAUUUGAAGUAAAAGUAGCGGAGAGAGACAAAUAAUAGAAAAAAUUGCUAAAGGAUUUAAUUUCUCGAGGCAUGAAUUCCGUUAAUAUAAACCUAAGCUAUUUGUAUUAAGAAAAUGGACAAAGACCAAACCUGAUAAGUUUUUGAAUACUUAAAUGACUAAAAUCGGUAUGUUUAUAGUUAAGGGAUUAAAAUCAGUAAGUGUAUAGUUAAGAGACCAAAACUGAUAAGUUUAUAAAUAGUUAAAGAACUAAAUCCGUUAACUGUAUAGUUAAGGGAUCAUUUUAGACCCAUUCUUAUAGUUAAGAAACUAUUUAUGUCAUUUUCUCCAUCUUUUCUUAUAGAGAAAAUACAUCAAAUCACAUUUAAACUUAACAACAAAAGUUACUUUGACACUUUAAUUAUACUGAUGUUUAUUUAUCCCUUAACAAAUUUUAAAUGAAUUAAAUACGGCCUUAGGGGGUGACGUGAUAGAGAGAGUGAACCUACUCUCCUAAAAGCGUGUGAAGAAAGAAAAAAGAAAAGCUGAAAUUACAAGAUUAUGUGUCAUUUUUUUUAUCGGCCAACAUAUAAAUAAUAUUUUUAAUCUUUUUUUCUUAAUAUAUUAACUUUUUUAAAAUAUGUGAAUUUUCUUAUAGAGAUAAUGGAAUUUAUGAAUCCCAUUUAAAAUAAAGUUUUAACUUUAUUCUCUUUAAUUGUUAUUGACAUCGAUUUUAUGAAAUUCAGUACUAACAUCAUUGUUACAGCCAUUAAUUCCACAACAUCCACUACCAAUAGCAAUAAUAAUGGAGAAGAAUGGAGCGAUGAGGAAUACACAUUCCUAAAUAAUCGAUUUUACAAUAUCUACAUCGAUUCACAAUCAAUACCCAUUAAGAACACACAUUCAUAGAUCCAUAUUUUUAAUUAAUGUUCUUGCAGCUUCAAUCUCACCAAUAAAAUUAGUGAAUGAAGAUCGUAUAAGAAAGUUGAAAGAUCCAUAUUUUUUGCAUCACUAAUAAUAGAAGCUCAAAAUAUGGGUUACUUAAAAUUCAAGAAAAAUUACAUUUAUAAAAUAUAAGCAUCAAGAUUUUACUUAUGAUUUUUGGUAGAAAUCUUGUUGAUAAAAUGUAUGAAGCUUGAGACUAUAGCUAAAGAAACUGUUGUUGAAAGAAAUUAGAUUCAAUUUUCGGUUGGCAUUGUUGAAAUGAUUUAUCUUCAAUUUUUGAUUGCCAUUACUGAGGAUUUACCUCCAAUUUGGUACUGAUGAUAAAGCUCUUUGUUAAAUAAAUGAGCCAACAUAAGUUUUGAAAUUAAUUAGUUUAGUGUAUAUAAGUUAAAAAAAGAUAUAUUUAAAGAAAACGAAAAAAUGGUGAAUAAACAGUAAGAAAUAAAAAAUUAAUGAUGUGAUGCUUAGAUGGCUAUGACGUCAUGCUUAUAUUGCUAUGACAUGGCGGGUGAGAGUAGUAUUUUAAUCUGAGGGUGGUAUUUAAUUCAUUUGAAAGUUAAGAGGGUAAAUAAAUGUCCGUAUAAUCAAAGUGCUAAAGUAAACAAUUCAUUCUAUGCAACGAGUAUCUUUGGGAUGACUUAGCCUAAUAUAACACAUUCAGACCAAUGAACAGUCCUUGUUAUUUUGUGAAUGCUUGAGCUUGUACCAUGCAAACUUAGCCAUGCAUUUCCUGAAACUAGAGUACUAGACAUAAACUGAUCAAUGAAUUUCUCUUGAUCUUUCAACAAUUCCCCAAAUGCUGCUUUGCAUGUAUUUGAGCUCUGGUACCAUGAAACCCGUUUUGUAACAUUUAUCGGCUCGCUACGUGUUGAUGACCGGAUGAACUGCACGAGGCGUGAAGCCUCGUCCCGCCUGAUGGAACUAAAGUACCGUACGUUCUUGGAAGUGAAAAGUUCUAAUACGCAUACUUUGCGCAUCUGUCUCCAGUAUUCACCAUAAGGAGUAAAUGCGAUGUCCAUGCUCUUGUAACAUAUUAUGUCGAUGGAUGCUAAUUUAGGCCUUGAUGCAAAAGCAAG